CUAGGGUGUAGCUACUGAUCCCAUACUACUGCACAGAGAGUGAGAGUGGAAGGUAGGUGGGACAUCAGGUGUCACAGCUCCACAGCCCCAGAUGAGGCUGCAUCACCACGACAACCAGGGGUGCCGUCAGGUGGCCUUUGUUAGAAGCUGCCCAUGUGAUUGCAGAUCUUUGUAAAAGGGCUCCAGUCUAAUAUGUUAGAGAUGCUCUCUGAUGCUUACUAGCCAGGCACCCAACCGCCUGCGUCCAGCCAGCAAUCCUGCAGUCUACCAAUCCGUCCAUCCAGCGAAGCGAAGUCCAACACCAGCCAGAACUGGCAACCUGCAGGAGUCAUCAGGCUGCCACAGAUGAAGCGAAGAUAGCAGCGAGAUGAAGAGGCAGAGCUGACUCUAUACCCCCGGGGAGGAUGCAGCGAGGUGGAACCACUUGCCUGCCUCCCAGUAGAGAAAUACUUCCACCAUCAGAGCGCCAUCUGCAGACUCGGUGGGGUGGGACAGCUGGUGUUGUGAAUCAGGCCGCCGUAGUCCAGGGACCGGCUACUUCCCAACACCAGGGUCUCACCCUCACUCCUCACGUCCUAAUGACAUAUGACUUUCUCCUACAUAUUUCACCCUCUACACUCUUUAUUGUUGUAAAGUGGAUGGUUUUGUUCUUUUCACUUUUAUCCAUGCAGAACAUCUUUCUAUUAAUGCUGAAAUUAAUUCUUCUCUGCAUGCAGUAGUGGAGAGAAAAUGUGUCCAAAGUAAAUAAAGAUAUUUUACCACAUGUCUCUUUAAUAUUAAUGGUUGGUAAAGAUUUUUAAUAAAACCAUAUUCAAAUU